UAUCUCUGUAGAGUCUGCAUAUCAAUAAGCGGAGGAAAAGAAACUAACAAGGAUUCCCUUAGUAACGGCGAGUGAAGCGGGAAGAGCUCAAAUUUGAAAUCUUCAAGGUUUUACCUUGACGAAUUGUAGUUUAAAGAAGUGUUUUCUGUUGAAGUUUUGGUAAAAGUUCUUUGGAAUAGGACAUCAUAGAGGGUGAGAAUCCCGUAUUUGACCAUUAUUUUCAGCUGUGUGAUACACUUUCAAAGAGUCGGAUUGUUUGGGAAUGCAGUCCAAAAUGGGUGGUAAAUUUCAUCUAAAGCUAAAUAUUGGCGAGAGACCGAUAGCGAACGAGUACCGUGAGGGAAAGAUGAAAAGAACUUUGAAAAGAGAGUUAAACAGUACGUGAAAUUGUCAAAAGGGAAGCGUUUGACACCAGUGUUGUUUUUCCGAAAAUCAAUUACGAAUGGCUUGAUUCUGUGUUGUAUUGACCUUAUCAGCUUUCUUCACUUUUUUCGAGUCUUUCUUAAUGCACUUUUCGGUUAACAAGUCAACAUCAAUUUCUUUUGUUGUAAAAGAGUAUUCGGAAGGUGGCUUUCUUUUCGGAGAAAGUGUUUAUAGCCCUAUACUUCUACAAUCGGAGAGAUUGAGGUCUGCAGCGUAGAUCCUUCGGGGUUAGAUACACUUGUGCUAAGUUGUAGCUUUUCAUAGACAACUUGUUGACUAUGUUUAGUCAUGCGGCUUACUCGCUUAUGCUAUUUUACCUACGCUUAGGAUGUUGAAGAUAUGCGCGACACG
rnacentral:rRNA from 1 species